GGUCAGUGGUGAUCAGCGGUGCUUCUGUACCGUGCACUUGCCAUUGACUGGGCCAGCAUCGGUUCGGACGGCGGGAUAAAGGCCUUAGGAAUGUGGCUCUCUUCGGGGAGUGUUAUAGCCUAGGGUGCAAUGCCGCCAGUCUGGACCGAGGACCGCGCUUCGGCUAGGAUGCUGGCGUAAUGGUCUUCAGCGACCCGUCUUGAAACACGGACCAAGGAGUC
rnacentral:rRNA from 1 species